GACGAACGCUGGCGGCGUGCUUAACACAUGCAAGUCGAACGAUGAAACCGGAGCUUGCUCUGGUGAAUUAGUGGCGAACGGGUGAGUAACACGUGAGUAACCUGCCCUUGACUCUGGGAUAACUGCUAGAAAUGGUAGCUAAUACCGGAUACGACCCUCGGAGGCAUCUCCAGGGGGUGGAAAGAAUUUCGGUCAAGGAUGGACUCGCGGCCUAUCAGCUAGUUGGUGAGGUAAUGGCUCACCAAGGCGACGACGGGUAGCCGGCCUGAGAGGGUGACCGGCCACACUGGGACUGAGACCCGGCCCAGACUCCGACGGGAGGCAGCAGUGGGGAAUAGUGCACAAUGGGCGCAUGCCUGAUGCAGCAACGCCGCGUGAGGGAUGACGGCCUUCGGGUUGUAAACCUCUUUUAGUAGGGAAGAAGCGAAAGUGACGGUACCUGCAGAAAAAGCACCGGCUAACUACGUGCCAGCCGCCGCAGUAA
rnacentral:rRNA from 1 species